rnacentral:lncRNA from 1 species
AUCCUCUCCUGUGUAGCUGACAGCUCCACUCUGAGAGAGCUGAUCUUGGCAGCUUGAGCCCUAGAUCGGUCGCUGGCGUGCUUCUUAUGUUCCUCGAGCUCCUUCUCGAAGUUUGCUUUCCUCCGGCUGUACUCCAUGAUCUCCUUCACGUGGAGGUUCCGAAAGUGGGUGGCCUCUACGGUGGCCUCAGAGUGACUCUCCCUCAAUCUGUGAAGUUCGCCAUCCAUCUCCUUCGACCUUUUUGUUAAAUGAUGAACUUCCUUCUUCAAAUGUUGAAUCAUGGACUUCA